rnacentral:rRNA from 1 species
AGAGUUUGAUCCUGGCUCAGAAUGAACGCUGGCGGCGUGCCUAACACAUGCAAGUCGGAUGUGCCCGCAAGGGUGCAUGGCAGACGGGUGAGUAACGCGUGGGGAACCUACCUCUUUGUGGGGAAUAACGUUCCGAAAGGAAUGGUAAUACCGCAUGAGACCUUCGGCUGGGAUGCUGGAGGUGAAACCCGGGGACCGUAAGGCCUGGGGCAAGGAGAGGGUCCUGCGUCUGAUUAGCUAGUUGGCGGGGUAAUGGCCCACCAAGGCGACGAUCAGUAGCCGGCCUGAGAGGGUGAUCGGCCACACUGGAACUGAGACACGGUCCAGACUCCUACGGGAGGCAGCAGUGGGGAAUUUUGCGCAAUGGACGAAAGUCUGACGCAGCAACGCCGCGUGGGUGAUGAAGGUCUUCGGAUUGUAAAACCCUGUCGUCAGGGACGAAGGUUGGGGCUUUAAUAGAGUUUCAACUUGACGGUACCUGGAGAGGAAGCCCCGGCUAACUCUGUGCCAGCAGCCGCGGUAAUACAGAGGGGGCAAGCGUUAUUCGGAAUUACUGGGCGUAAAGGGCGCGUAGGCGGUUCUUUAAGUCGGAUGUGCAAUCCCCGAGCUCAACUUGGGAACUGCAUCCGAAACUGGGGAGCUAGAGUGCUGGAGAGGGUGGUGGAAUUCCACGUGUAGCGGUGAAAUGCGUAGAGAUGUGGAGGAACACCAGUGGCGAAGGCGGCCACCUGGACAGUAACUAACGCUGAGGCGCGAAAGUGUGGGUAGCAAACAGGAUUAGAUACCCUGGUAGUCG